rnacentral:rRNA from 1 species
UACGUAGGGGGCAAGCGUUGUCCGGAUUUAUUGGGCGUAAAGCGCGCGUAGGCGGCGCGGUAUGUCGUGCGUGAAAUCCCCCGGCUUAACUGGGAGGGGCCGUGCGAAACUGCCGGGCUUGAGGUCGGAAGGGGAAAGUGGAAUUCCGGGUGUAGUGGUGGAAUGCGUAGAUAUCCGGAGGAACACCAGCGGCGAAGGCGGCUUUCUGGUCCGAUACUGACGCUGAGGUGCGAAAGCGUGGGGAGCGAUCCGG